AGAGAGAAAUGGAGAAGGUUUUCACUCUUUGCUUCAAUUAAAAACUUUUACCCAUCUUCAACCUUUGAACACGAGUUUUGAACUAGAGAGAUGAUCAAGAGGGGGAAAUCAGAGAGGAGGAUCGACGAGGGGUGAGAAGUAGAGUUUGGUUCCUCGGCAUUCGGUUGUGUUCGGUUGUGGUUUUACUUUUGCCUCGUCUCAGGAUGUAAGUUUGGAGAACCGCUACACGUAGCCCCUUUACAAUCAAUUUCACCGCCAUGUAUGACCCUGCGUCGAAAUGAGGAGCAUGAGGUUGCCCGACAAAGGGAAGAGGAAGAAUAUGAGAUUAGUGAGGUGUGUCAGCAUUUCUGGCCAGAUUGAUGAGGGUGACGAAUUUGUUGAUGAAGGGCAAAGUUCCCAUUCUGCGAACUUCUCUUGGACUCUUGGUGAUGGCACUGGGGUGCAUUAUGUUCGCAAAGUCCCUCUCCUGAAGCUCCAUUUUUUGAAUGUGCUUGGUUUGUUUGUUUUUUUUUUUUUGACAUCUUCAGGAAUAAGAAUACCAGUGUCAUUUGUCAUGUUAAGGUAGAAAUCAAUCAGGAACCAGGCGCUCAUUCCCUAAACCCAGGCUACUAGAAAUAGGAGAUGAUAGUUUUGCUUAUUCUCUUUAACAUCCCACUUGCUAUUGUAGACAAGUAUGCAUACAAGUAUAGAACCCACGCAAACAUAUAAACAAUAACAAAGAUCUUCUGUGCCAAGGUCUCCGGCUCUGGCAUAAAAUCAUUUCUUUUUCUGCAGUGUCCGACUUUUAGUUUUGAUUUUCUUCAGAGUCUGACUUUUAGUUUUUA